GGAAAACGUGAGAGGAGGAAGAAGGAGGAGAACCAGCAGCUGAAUAGUGUCAAACCUUCCUCAAACUUAGUUAAAUUCAGAAGGUGGUGCGGUCGGGAUUGGACCAUCAUCAAGACAGGAACGACCCACAGGUGGAGCAGGGACGUCACACCAACGAGAUGUCUAGGAUACCCGAUACACGGGAACCUACUUUUGCAAGGAAUUAAGUAGAUGCAUUCUAAAUCACAAUGUAUUUUGUAGGGAUCAAUGUACUGAAUGUAUAACUUUUAUUAGAUCCUUUUUGUUUAAAAAUUGUGAUGGCUAUUAGAAGUAUAAGAGUGCAAACUCAUGUCCAUGUAUAUAUAUUUUUAAUAUGAACUUCAAAUCAUGCAACCUUAAUAUUAUGUGUUUGUGUAAGAUUCGCU